GUAGGUGGCAAGCGUUGUCCGGGAAUUAUCGGGCGUAAAGCGCGCGCAGGCGGUCCUUUAAGUCUGAUGUGAAAGCCCACGGGCUCAACCGUGGAGGGUCAUUGGAAACUGGGGGACUUGAGUACAGAAGAGGAAAGCGGAAUUCCAAGUGUAGCGGUGAAAUGCGUAGAGAUUUGGAGGAACACCAGUGGCGAAGGCGGCUUUCUGGUCUGUAACUGACGCUGAGGCGCGAAAGCGUGGGGAGCAAACAGGAUUAGAUACCCUGGUAGUCCACGCCGUAAACGAUGAGUGCUAAGUGUUAGGGGGGUUUCCGCCCCUUAGUGCUGCAGCUAACGCAUUAAGCACUCCGCCUGGGGAGUACGGCCGCAAAGGCUGA
rnacentral:rRNA from 1 species